rnacentral:lncRNA from 1 species
AGGCUCACAAGUCAGGCAGUUACAUGGCCUAACACAUGGCCUGGCACACGGGUGGGUGUCUUGGCCGUAUGACCCAACUUAGAGAGUUACACGGGUGAGGACACGAGCUGAGACACGACCGUGUGUCCCUAUUUUGAUGGUUACACGACUUGAGACAUGGGUGUGUGUCCUAGUUGUGCAAGUCACAUGGUUGUGUGACCUCUGCA